rnacentral:lncRNA from 1 species
GUCUCUUUCCACACCAUUGACAAGCAAACAAAUUGUGUGUAAUAAAUAAAUGAAAAAGAGAGAAAAGUGGUUUUCCAAAGAAAGAAAAAAAGUUUGUUUACUUGUGAUGUGUGUGUGUGUGUUAUAGUGGGCCAAAGGGCUCAGGAAGAAGCUCGAAUCCUCCAUUAUCAAACAUGAGUCCGUGAUCUGAUGACCUAUCAUCGAUGCUAUGUAACCAGUUUGUGUUCUUGACGUCCUCCUUCAGCAACAAAGCGUCAUACCUCGAGCUCUCAUACAUGUCCAUAUCACUCAGCUUCCCCAUCAGUCUUCUUCCAUCAGUUGCUUCGUUCCCAUUCUCUGCGCUGCUACUGCUAAUAGAAUCCGAAAGGUUAUUUACUGAACGGAUUGGCUGUAUCUUGGACGAGGCUUGUCUGAUGCUCUGAGGGAACAACGUCGUGGUUGAUAGUGCACAACCGUUUGACUUUCCGUUUCUUAUGUCCUAUACGCAACACCAAAAUGUCGAGAUAUUAACAGCAUGAUAGAGAUUUUUAAAUGCACGAGUCACUUGCAGCGAGAAGUAUGGAUGGACGUUUUUACCCCAAACCAAAAUCCCGACCUUAACCAAACCGGAAAAGCCAAAAUCCAAUUCGAACCGUUAUAAAAAAAUCUGAAACCAAAGAGCUAUGUACUUUCGGACCGAAAUCCGAACUAGGAUCCAAAAAUAUCCGAAAUUAGUUAAAUAUGUUAGUCUCUUUACAUAUGUUAAGGCAGUCUAGAUAUUAUUUUUUUAAAUUGUAGUUUGUUUAUUUGUUAUUGUCAAUAUUUUUAGUUAGUUUAGAUAGUUUAAUUAGUUAGUAUUUUAGUCCAGUGUUUCUUUAAAAAAAUAUUUUUGUUCCAGACCGGAAACCGGAAGAAACCGAACCCAGUCCGAAAAUUACUAAAAUUCGAAUAAAACUUAUGAGCAUAGUACUGAAAAUCCGAAUUAACCGAAUUGAAUCCAACACCAGGCCUAACGAGGAGAGUCAAGUUAUACACGUACCAUGUGCCUGAUGGCCAUAUCAAGUGAAUUUUUUGAGAACGACCUCCCAAGUCCGUUGUUAUUAUCAGCGACAGUUGAAGAAGUCUUCAGGGUUCUCCGUGAAGUUACAUCUGCAACGUUUGAAAUCCUCCGAGGCUCUGGUGCAUCCAUGUGGUGUUGCAGUCCAUUACCACCACCAUAACGGCCUUUUCCUUGAGUCUCUGCGACUCUUCCUCUCGUCACAACAGGAGAUGAGUUCCUUCUCGUCAGUGGACCUUUUGGUUCUGGACUUGCCUUCGCCGUGAUGCUGCUACCAGCUGCUGGUCUAGACCUGCCAGCGGGCUGAUCCUUCCCACAGCUUCCAUCUGCUGCUCGAACUCUCUUUUCCCAGCCGCUACUUCUUUAAGCCUCUUCACCACCACAGUGGUUCCUUCCUCUAAUAUAGCCUUAUACGUUGUCCCGUAGCUUCCUUUUCCUAGAACUUCAGCAGAGGCUCUGAGCAAGUCCUCGAGGUCGAAGUUGUAUGAGCUUCCUUCGAAGAAGACAAGCUUGUUCUUCUCCGCCUCCUGGACCCCGCUCCCGAACUCCUCCGCCUUGUUGUCACUCCUCCCUGGUUUGGCUUUCGGCGCCGCGGUGGUGCUGCUCUCUUGCCCGUUGUCUUUCUUCUUGGCGCAGCAGAGGGUUAGGAUGGCGAGAAGGAUGAAUAACAGAACCGAACCUCCAACUGCAAUGCCGACAAUAGCAGCAGUAGAGAGAACUCUUUUGCUUGUACCUGGUGGAGUCGGGGAAGGAGAUGGAGAUGGUGAAGUGGUGUUCUCCGGACAUGGAGUUAGAGGACCGCCGCAUAAAAGGGUAUUGCCUUGAAACGCAGAUGCUGGGAAGGACUUGACAGAAGAAGGAACUGAGCCGUUAAGGCUAUUGUAGCUCACGUUCAAGUACUUUAAGCUAGGAGGGAGGUCAGGGAUAGGCCCAGUGAGAGAAUUAUUCUGCAAGCUGAGAUCAGUGAGCUGAGUCAAGUUCCUUAGAGUCCCGGGGAUGCUUCCAGAGAGCGAGUUGGCGGAGAGAUCAAGAUUCACAAGGCGAGGAGAGAGAGCGGGAGGGAUGGAGCCAGAGAAGUUGUUGUCAUGAAAGUAGAGAGAUCUGAUGAAAGGAAGAGAGAGGAUAGCAGACGGGAUGCUCCCUUGGAGGUUGUUGGAACGGAGGCUGAUGAUCCUGAGAGCGUCAAGCUGCUCAAACGUCUUCUCUGGUAAAGGUCCGUAGAGUCCGGAGCCAGGGAGACGGAGGGCGGUUACACGGGCGUUGUUCUUGGAGCAGGUGAUGCCUGUCCAGGAUGUGCAGAUUGGGAUUGUUGUGUUCCAGUUGAGUUUGCGCACGUGGGGAACGAGGGAUGCGAACUCGAGAAGGGCUUGCUUGUCUGUGUCUAUGUCUGUGGGUGAAACAAAUGGGGAGACCAAAAGGAAAACGAAGGCUGCAACGAUCCUCAUCAUCAAAUCUUUUAGGCUCACUCACAUCAAAGUUUAUUGCUCGUUCACCUGAUAACUGCAAGAGAACACAAAACACUGUCAAGUUCUGAUUUUGAGCUACAUAACAGUUAACUUGUAAAUUGAGAUUGUAGCCAACAACACUUCAUAGGUAUUAGGACUAAAGAUCAACACAAUGUAAAGCUGCUAAAUUUACGAGUACCAUUGUUAUGAGCAAUUAGUUAAAAAGGUGCUAAAUUUACGAGUACCAUUGUUAUAAGCAAAUCAACAAAAACCCCCAAAUUAAAUUAAAAAGUUGCUAAAUUUUCGAGUAUCAUUGUUAUAAGCAAUCAUCAAAACCCCCAAUUAGUUAAAAAAAGGUGCUAAAUUUACGAGUACCAUUGUUAUAAGCAAUCAACAAAAAAAAAACCAAUUAAUUAAAAAGUUACUAAAUUUAGAGCUAACAGUGAGUAAAAUGUGUGCCCGCAUACCCAGAUCUGCAAUCUACAGAUGAACAUUUUAGGAAAUUUAAUCCAGCUAAGCAAAAACAGAGAAGUCGAAAUUGAAAACAAAGAAGAAAUCUUUUAGUAUUAAGUAUUAAGAAGCGAAGCUAAUAAAUCAAAAGUGAGAGAUAUAUAUAUAUAUAGAGAGAGAGAGAGACCUUUGAGGUGGGUUCAGAGGAGAAGCAUUGGAAGCUGAUCGAAGAAGAAGAAGAAGAGUGGGAGUGGAAUAAAUGCAAAAGAGGAAAGGAUAAGUGAGUGGAGGAGAGUAUCACUUUUUCAGCAACGGCAUUUCGUGAAGAAGAAGAUUGAGCGAAAGGCGAAAGCGGAAAAGAGUAGAGAAUCUGGAAUCGCCAUUAAACACAGAUUCAGUGAUAGAACAGUCAGAAGAGAGAGAAAGAGAAAGAGAAAGAGCUGCUAAAAGCUUUGGGUGGGUUUCUGGUGAAGGAGGGGAAGCUUCGGCGUGACGAAAACGGAGAAACGUAAAUCUCGAUGGUCAGUUUCAGAUUCCAAUCUCUCCCUCUCUCUCUCUUAUCUGCGAUUUGCUUUGCUUGUGAUGCCUUUGACUCUCUUAGAUUUUAAUUAGUAGCUUUAAUUAAUUAUCUGUCUUUUUGUUAAUUAUUAAUUUCCUAAACGAAUUUUAGCUUUUAUUAAGGGUGGGGGUGGGGGAGGCCCUUGCUUACGAUCUAGUCUGAGUUCCCAACGUUCAAUUUUUUCCCCAUUUUAAAAUCUGUAAUAAUUUUUGGUGUUAUUAUUGGAACGGGUCAACUGAUUAAUGAGAUUUUUUUUGAAUAUUCUAAUAGGUAGUGUGAGGAACCACCCAACUUUUAUAUCAAUGUGGCUUCUUAAUGAGAAAUUUUGGAAUUUUCUUAUAGGUUGUGUGAGAAAUCACCCCACUUAUAUUAAUGUAAAACAUGUAUAUGGCUUCUUAGGUGUUGACUGGUUUCCCCGCUACCACCCGCAACCGCAGCUUUUGCGGUUGGUAGCGGUUUACAGCGUUUCGAAACAAUCAAAUGAACCGCUUUGUACCGCUUCAAACCACUUUGUACCGCUCAAAAUCAAAAGCUCCUUCCCGCAAGUGUUUGCGGUUGCGGGCGGUUGCGAUUGAAAAAAAAAAUAUUAAAUUAGAUUUAGAUUUCAUAUAUAUCCUAACCUAAUCCACAUCACGUACAUCUACCUAUAUAUCCUAACUAAUCCAUUUUUAAUUAACGUUAUAUAUGUGUAUAUUUGAUAAUAUCUCAUUCACGUUAACCUAAUCCAGUAUCAAUCCAUUGAAAUCAUGGCUUUCCAACCAAGAAGAAAGUCAAGAGAACAACGUAAGUGGACUAUGCUUUUAUUCCUGUUUAUUGUUUUAUGAUUUCUGAUAUGUUUUGUUGUUUAAAUUCUGUGAAUGACCAGUAUAUCAUUCAUAUAUAUAUAUUUGUAUGUUUCGUAAUUGGAUAUAUGUUCACCUGGUCUUUGAAUAGAAACUACAAUGGUCAGAUGAGAUGACUCGUUUCUUGUUAGAACUGAUAACGCUGGAAAAACAAGAUGGAAAUUCUAAAGGCAAAAACUUGAGUGAGCAGGAAAAGCAAAAUGUUCUCAAAGAAUUAAAAAAACAGUUUCCAGUUGCGAUCACUUGGAACAAAGUGAAAAACAGACUUGAUACUUUGAAAAAGCAAUAAUAAAUUCACUAUGUUUUGGUUUUCAGAAAGUUACAUGGACGAACGAGAUGACACAUACAUUACUUAAAUGUAUAAUUGUGGAGAAACAGAACAAAGAUGAAGGCAACAGAUUUUUUAAUCUGUCCCAAAACAAGAAGCUUAAUGAGCAAUUUGGAAUAGAGAUGAGUUGGAAGCACGCUAAAAAUCGUUGGGAUUAUUUGAAGAAAUUUUACAAUAUGUAUAAGAUGAAUCCAGAAAAUCCACGUCUCGGAACAAAUUUUUUUGCGUAUGUUGCACAGCUUGAUGAAAUAUUUGGUGAUUAUUAGAAUGCAUGAAACAAUAAUCAUGCCAUAAAUUUAAUUGUUUUUAAUUAUUAAUUAUUAUUUUGUUAUUGGAUUUUAAGUUUAUUAUUUUUAAUCAAAAUUUUUUAUAAUUAUUUUUUGUCUAUUAAAUAUUUUUUAUUAAUUAUUUUUAUAUAUGUGGGUGGGUGGGUAAACCAGUCAGAAAUGAUCCGCAAACGCAACAAUUUUCAAAUGUUGUGCCAGUCAUACAAAACGCUUAAUAACGCUAGAAACUGCAACUACCCGCAUUCGCAAACUCCCGCAACCGCAACCGUAACCGCUGCGUUUGAACCGGUCAGACUCUUAAUGAGGUGAUUUUUGAAUAUUUUAGUAGCUAAUGUGAGAGAACACUCAACUUAUAUUAAUGCAUAGAAUCAAAUGUGUUUUUUUUUCUUUUUUAAAAUGAGAAGGAUAGUAUUUCAAGAUCAAAAUAGGUAUAAGGAAAACAACAAAACUGGGGAAUAUUUAAAUUCUGCUGCAAAUUGAGCUUAUUAUCAUUUGAUAAUUUAUAGAACUAAUUUGAUUUUUUUUGGUAAGGUGGGGACUAUCUUUCAUAAAAAUGGACCCCUGAAGGGAAGGAGUUUGGUAUGUGACAUAAAUGAGGGUAUGAUACGGAGGUCACGGAGGUCACAUUGAAAACAACGAAAUUUAAAUCUCUUCCUUUAAAUAUCAAACUGUGUCAUUAAUGAAAAGUCAAUUUAUGGAAUAAAAUUACAAAAAAACUACUGGCGUUGUUGGUUGUGCUUUGCUGUCUAUCAUUAUUAACUUUAGCUGCAUCUCAGAUUCAUCACGUUACGCGCAUGAACCUAUGUUUCGUCUUUCACAUUCUCAUUGCUAUCGUUACGUUACCAUCUCUUAGAAAAAUAUUACAUAACUACAAAGUUACAAACCUUACUCAAGAAUCAAUAACCAAAGAACCAAUAACCCUUAUAUCUGAUAAUCCGUCUCUUUCCACACCAUUGACAAGCAAACAAAUUGUGUGUAAUAAAUAAAUGAAAAAGAGAGAAAAGUGGUUUUCGAAAGAAAGAAAAAAAGUUUGUUUACUUGUGAUAUGUGUGUGUUAUAGUGGGCCAAAGGGCUCAGGAAGAAGCUCGAAUCCUCCAUUGUCAAACAUGAGUCCGUGAUCUGAUGACCUAUCAUCAAUGCUAUGUAACCAGUUUGUGUUCUUGACGUCCUCCUUCAGCAACAAAGCGUCAUACCUCGAGCUCUCAUACAUGUCCAUGUCGCUCAGCUUCCCCAUCAGUCUUCUUCCCUCGUUUGC